AUUGAACGCUGGCGGCAUGCUUUACACAUGCGAGUCGAACGGUAACAGGCCGCAAGGUGCUGACGAGUGGCGAACGGGUGAGUAAUGCAUCGGAACGUGCCCAGUCGUGGGGGAUAACUACUUGAAAGAGUAGCUAAUACCGCAUACGAUCUAUGGAUGAAAGCGGGGGACCGUAAGGCCUCGCGCGAUUGGAGCGGCCGAUGUCAGAUUAGGUAGUUGGUGGGGUAAAGGCUCACCAAGCCAACGAUCUGUAGCUGGUCUGAGAGGACGACCAGCCACACUGGGACUGAGACACGGCCCAGACUCCUACGGGAGGCAGCAGUGGGGAAUUUUGGACAAUGGGCGCAAGCCUGAUCCAGCAAUGCCGCGUGCAGGAAGAAGGCCUUCGGGUUGUAAACUGCUUUUGUACGGAACGAAACGGCUCUGGUUAAUACCCGGGGCUAAUGACGGUACCGUAAGAAUAAGCACCGGCUAACUACGUG
rnacentral:rRNA from 1 species